ACAUUAGAUGUACUCAACUACUCCUUCCGUUCGGAAUUACUCGUCCAAGAAAUAAAUGUAUCUAAAUGCAUUUUAGUUGUAGAUACAUCCAUUUUUAUCAUUUUUGUGACAAGUAAUUCCGAACGGAGGGAGUAUAUUCUAAUGUUGGAUC
rnacentral:pre_miRNA from 1 species